UACGUAUGGUGCAAGCGUUAUCCGGAUUUACUGGGUGUAAAGGGAGCGCAGGCGGUGCGGCAAGUCUGAUGUGAAAGCCCGGGGCUCAACCCCGGUACUGCAUUGGAAACUGCCGUACUAGAGUGUCGGAGGGGUAAGCGGAAUUCCUAGUGUAGCGGUGAAAUGCGUAGAUAUUAGGAGGAACACCAGUGGCGAAGGCGGCUUACUGGACGAUAACUGACGCUGAGGCUCGAAAGCGUGGGGAGCAAACAGG
rnacentral:rRNA from 1 species